GGAAGGAUCAUUAACACUAAUCCAAUCAACUCAACCUAGCCUUCAGUUGCAGUGGCAGUACGAGCUAGCGUCAGCGAAGCAGUGCAGUCUCUGCAGCAACUACAAACCUAAUCACGCAAAGGAGCCUAACUAAGCUCAAUCCAAAAACCAAAUUCUCAACGAUGGAUAUCUUGGUUCCCAUAACGAUGAAGAACGCAGCGAAGUGCGAUAAGCAAUGCGAAUUGCAGAACCGUGAGUCAUCAGAUUUUUGAACGCAACUGGCGCUGACUGGCUCUCCAGUCAGCAUGCUUGUUUCAGUGUCUUUUUAUCUCAUCACCCAAAUCCUAAUGCGAGAGAUGCCCUUCUCUCGUCAAGCACGAAAGCACUCUGCGCUCUGCAAGCGGCUCCGUUUCGGAGUCGCACUCAAUGCAGCAGUCACAUUCUCCAAUGUGAACUCAUUGAGAGUAGAGGCAGUGCAGCCUAGCUGCUAGUGCUUAGUCACUCAAACUUACUUGCAUCUGAAAUCAAGCAGGAUCACCCGCUGAACUUAAGCAUAUCAAUAAGCGGAGGAGAAGAAAUUAACUAAGAUUGCCCUAGUAACGGCGAGUGAAGCGGCAAGAGCCCAAAGUGGAAAUCUUGUACACAUCGUGUGCACGAAUUGUAAUCUACAGGUCGUUCGCUCAACGGGCGGUGGCGCAGAAGUGCCCUAGAACGGGCCGCCAGAGAGGGUGACAGCCCCGUACGUGGUGCCACUGCCUAACGAGCGAGUGUCCAACGAGUCGGGUUGUUUUGUAUUGCAGCCCUAAGUGGGAGAUAAACUUCUUCUAAGGCUAAAUAUAUAUGGGAAACCGAUAGCGAACAAGUACUGUGAAGGAAAGAUGAAAAGAACUUUGAAAAGAGAGUCAAAAGACUUGAAAUCGUUGAGAAGGAAGCGGUAGAAAUUUAUUCUUCGGCGCAGGCCGGUGGCGUUCAUCGAACCAUUGCUGGCUGUUAGUACUUCAACGGCUACGGUUGGCACUUGGGGAAGUGAGCGCUUUGACCUGCGUCGUGAGGCAAAAUGGGGUUUUCGUUCCGCAAAGGCUUCUCGCGCCUGGCCGUCUUCGGGUGGCAGUGCGAGUGUGCUGGCGGAACGAAGGCCUGAGGGUGCUUCGUGCGAUUUUGCCAAAAUGGUUUUUACCGACCCGUCUUGAAACACGGACCAAGGAGUCUAACACAUAUGCGAGUGUGCUGGUGGAGAAACCAACACGCGUAAUGAAAGUGAUUGAUGCCAAGCGCAAGCAGCAGCAUCGACCGACCAUGAUCCUCCGGUGAAAGGUUUGAGUACGAGCAUAUCUGUUAGGACCCGAAAGAUGGUGAACUAUGCCUGAGUAGGGUGAAGCCAGGGGAAACUCUGGUGGAGGCUCGUAGCGGUUCUGACGUGCAAAUCGAUCGUCAAACUUGGGUAUAGGGGCGAAAGACUAAUCGAACCAUCUAGUAGCUGGUUCCCUC
rnacentral:misc_RNA from 1 species